UACGGAGGAGGCAAGCGUUAUCCGGAAUUAUUGGGCGUAAAGCGUCCGUAGCUGGUUUUGUCAGUCUGCUGUCAAAGCACAGGGCUUAACCCUGUAAAGGCAGUGGAAACUACAAGACUCGAGUGUGGCAGAGGAAGGUGGAAUUCCACGUGUAGCGGUGAAAUGCGUAGAGAUGUGGAGGAACACCGAUGGCGAAGGCAGCCUUCUGGGCCAACACUGACGCUCAUGCACGAAAGCGUGGGGAGCAAACAGG
rnacentral:rRNA from 1 species